rnacentral:rRNA from 1 species
CCUACGGGAGGCAGCAGUGAGGAAUAUUGGUCAAUGGACGAGAGUCUGAACCAGCCAAGUCGCGUGAGGGAUGACGGUCCUAUGGGUUGUAAACCUCUUUUAUAUGGGAGCAAAGUGCACUACGUAUACCGCUUUGCAGGUACCUUAAGAAAAAGGAUCGGCUAACUCCGUGCCAGCAGCCGCGGUAAUAAGGAGGAUUCGAGCGUUAUCCGGCUUUAUUGGGUUUAAAGGGGGCGUAGGCGGACGGUAAAGUCAGUGGGAAAAUUUUGGGGUUCAACCUCGUCGUGCCGGUGAAACUGGGGGUCUUGAGUGAGCGAGAAGUAGGCGGAAUGCGUGGUGUAGCGGUGAAAUGCAUAGAUAUCACGCAGAACUCCGAUUGCGAAGGCAGCAUACUGGC